GCACUAGCUCAGAUGGUAAAGCAUCAGACUCAUAAUUUGAGGGCCUUGGGUUUGAUAACCACCCAGAAAAAACU